GCCGAGAUCGCACCACUGCCCUCCAGCCUGGGCAACAGAGUAAAACUCUGUCUCAAAAAAAAAAAAAAAAAGUCAAAGAAGCAGUUUAUGACCUUAAAGCAUUUAGCAAACUUAAUAUCUCACCUGCAUAAUUUAGACCAAAUGUUUACAUGUUUGAAGAUAUUUUUAUUUUGCCAAUAAUCUUUAAAACUCCUUAUUUCCCAAAGAUUACUUCAGUCACAUGAACUAAAAGGCAUUACACUUUUUACUUUUCUGACAAAAUAUUUAAGCACUUAUUUUUAAACCAAUUAGUUAAAGCUCUUUCAUUCAUAAACAUCACACACAUAAUACAUAUAAAUACAUAGAAGAUAAAGAACUUAUUUUCCAAGCCAGGAAUUGAACCCUGAACCUGGGCCACCAUUGUGAAAAGAGAAAGCAUGGCCACAUGGUUACAAGGUCAAGCUCCCAAGAACAUAGAAGACAAGAAGGAAACCUCAUCCAGUUUUUUGAGGGACCUGCAGCAAAGUUUGUAAUUGACCAGUUUGCUGAGCUGUCUUGAAAAGCAGGCUUAAAGGUGUCCUAAGUCCGUGCUCUAUCCUAAGGUACUCCUCUUUAUGACAGAGCAAUACAGAAAGACACAGAAAGCACACCAGACCUGGUUGGCUACAGCUUAAGACUAGCCUCACAAAUCCUUUAUUCCAUUAAUCAAAACUUUACAGGAGAUAAACAAUUAUUUUUUACAAUUUAUUCAACCAGUUUGCACAGAGAGAGAAAAGCAUUGCCUGAGGCAGGAUGGGGAAGGCGAGGCGCUCAGGGAGGUCAGAGAAAGACCCAUCCAUUGCAGCAACACUGAAAAGUUUAGGUGGCUGCUUGUCAGUCAUGAAGGGAUCUUUUCCAGCAGUCCCGUCAGCUCCCAAGUUUCCCCGUUUAAGGAGGAAAAAACUCCCCAAGUCCUACAAUCCUGUACGUGGCUAAUUCUGUCACUCACAGCCAUCAGCAAAGAGUGCAAGGCAGAUUAAUCCCAAGAGAAUAGCAGUUAACAUCCCAUAGUGCCAAACCUGCUCUUAGCCAGAAGCGACUUUACUGAGAGGGACCUUACUGAGAGGGGCCUCUAACCCCCUAAAUCUGAGAAGGGACUCUAACCCUCCUGAGUUGGGCCUCUAACCCAAGGUUGAGCAAGCGUCCUUACCUUUCCUUAAGAGGGGCCUCUAACCCACUGUGUCUUAGGACAGACUCUAACUCCCCUACGUUGGGCCUCUAACCCAAUCCCAUCCUUUACCCAGGUACCCCACCACUUAUUCAAAGUCGGCCAACCAGUGGUGCAGUCUACUUCUUUUGGGUUGAGGGGUCUCCUCAGUAUCGUCCCUUCCAUGAUUCACCAGAAAGACGUUACCAGACCCUACCACUUACCCAAAGUUACUCUUUGGGUCUGGGGUUUCCACACUAUAGUCACUUCUGUGGUCGCCAGAAAGAUGUUACAGGACCCCAUCACUUAACCAAAGUAAACCUUUGAGUCAAGGGUUUCCACACUAUGGUUCUUUCCAUGGUCACCAGAAAGAUGUUACAGGAAAGGGGUCCCAAUCCAGACCCCGAGAGAGGGUUCUUGGAUCUCACGCAAGAAAGAAUUCAGUGCAAGUUCAUGAAGUGAAAGCAAAUUUAUUAAGAAAGUAAAGGAAUAAAAAAAGGGCUACCCAUAGACAAAGCAGCCCUGAGGGCUGCUGGUUGCCCAUUUUUAUGGUUAUUUCUUGAUGAUAUGCUAAUCAGGGUGUGGAUUAUUCAUGUCUCCCCUUUUUAGACCAUAUAGGGUAGCAUCCUGACGUUGCCAUGGCACCUGCAAACUGUCAUGGUGCUGGUGGGAGUGUAGCAGUGAGGAUGACCAGAGGUCACUCUUGUGGCCAUCUUGGUUUUGGUGGGAUUUAGCCAGCUUCCUUAUUGCAGCCUGUUUUAUCAGCAAGGUCUUUAAGACCUGUAUCUUGUGCUGACCUCCUAUCUCAUCCUGUGACUUAGACUACCUAACCAUCGGGGAAUGCAGCCCAGUAGGUCUCAGCCUCAUUUUACCCAGCUCAUAUUCAAGAUGGAGUUGCUCUGGUUCACACGUCUCUGACAGGUAGAUUCAAAAAUUUCCUGAUUGGCAAUGGGUUGAAAGAGUUAAGCUUUGUCUAAAAAGUUGAACUCAGCUUGAGUUAAGGUGGGGGCGGGGGUGGUUGUGGAAGCCAAGGUUUUUGUUAUGUUGAUGAAGCCUCCGGAUGGCAGGCUUCAGAGAGAAUAGAUGUGCAUGUCUCUUAUAGGCCCUUAAAAGGUGUCAGAGUCUCCAGAAAAAGCCUAAUAAGGGAAGCAGAUUCUCUGCAGAAUGCACAUUUCCCCCAUGAGAGACAGCUUUGCAAGGGCCAUUUCAACAUAUGUCAAGGAAAUAUAUUUUGAGGUAAAAUACUUUGAUUCCUUCGGGGCUACUAUGUGUCAUGUGAUGCUAUACCGGAGUCCCGUUGAAUUGGGUAUCUUAUUGCUACAGAGAGUCUGUUUUGUCAGUCUAGGAUCUCUGUUUUUAUUUUAAUGUUGGUCAGUUGUGUCUAAAUUCCAGAGCGGGGCAGGUAUAAUGGGGCAUCCCGAGCCCUCCUUCCCAUUCAUGGCCUGAACUGGUUUUUCAGGUUUCUUUGGGUCCCGGUGGCUGCAAGGGGAUGCACUCAGUUGGCUGGGGGACUUAGAAUUUUAGUUUUGGUUUACAGCAGGAUUUGAUGGGCAUGCAUAUUUAUCAAUGUGAAAGUGUUGUCUGUGGGCGGCGGAGGGCUUGGGCCGUGUCCAGGCCACGCACUGCAAGGGUGCAGCCCCCACACACGGUCCCUGCUCCUAAAGCUGUUGCCCCCACUGCAAGAGUGGAGUAGGUUGAGGUGUAGCCAUGACAUUCUGGAAACUACAUUUUUUGUAAUAGUCAUUUUGAAAAUAAAACAUUUGAAAAUACUGUGCAGCAAAAACUUGAAUAAUUGGAAUAAAAAUGUUCAGUUUAAUGUCAUUGCUUGCUGCCACCGUUUUCUGAUUGUAAAACUAACGUGAUUAUUAGGUACUAUUUUGGUAAUGUAGAAAACUUUAAAGAUGAAAAUAGAUAUCACUUAUAACUCCACAUGGAGAAAUAGUUGCCCCUCCAAUUUAAUUGAUUUACUUUUGGGCCACAGGGGCCCAGAAUUUGAUUCAUUGUACUCCUUGGUUCAUGCCAGUGUUCCUGCACCCAGCACUGAAGCUGAACAUUGACAGUGAUUUGCCCCUGCCCCAGAGUCCUCCCUGCAUUCCCCUCGAGGGCCCCCGUCUCCUGGCCCUGGUGUCCACUUUUCUCUCAGCUGCUGGGAACGUGUUAGUGUGCACUGUUCUCCUUUCCCUCACCUGCUGGCUUCAUGUUAGCAUGCACCGUUCUGCUCACUUUCUUCCCCUCACCUGCCGGGAUCAUCUUAGCAUGCACCAUUCUGCUCACUUUCUUCCUCUCACCUGCCAGGAUCAUGUAAGCGUGCACCGUUCUCCACACUUUCUUCCUCUCACCUGCCGGGAUCACGUUAGCAUGCACCAUUCUGCACACUUCCUUCCCCUCAUCUGCCAGGGUCAUCUUAGCAUGCACCAUUCUGCUCACUUCACCUUCUUCUUCUCGCCUGCUGGGAUCAUGUUAGUGUGCACUGUUCUGCACACUUUCUUCCUCUCCCCUGCUGGGAUCAUGUUAGUGUGCACCGUUCUGCACACUUUCUUCCUCUCACCUGCUGGGAUCAUCUUAGCAUGCACCAUUCUGCUCACUUUCUUCCUGUCACCUGCUGGGAUCAUGUUGGCGUGCACCAUUCUGCACACUUUCUUCCUCUCGCCUGCUGGGAUCAUGUUAGCGUGCACAGUUCUGCAUACUUGCUUCCCCUCACCUGCCAGGAACAGGUUAGUGUUCCCCAUUCUGCACACUUUCUUCCUCUCACCUGCCGGGAUCAUGUUAGCGUACACCAUUCUGCACACUUUCUUCCUCUGUGUACGUGUGUGUGGUUUUCCUUUCAGAAAUGGGUCAUACUCUGUGGACAUCUUUUUCCACUUAAAGUGAUGGCACAGCCAUUUUCCCAGUCAAGUAACAUGAAUGUACAAGUUUAGCAAACUUCCUCCUGAGAGAUGGAGAGAUCAAGGCUUCUGCUCCGUGGCAGCCAUCCGUGCACAUGCAUCACUGUGCGUGAGUUGGUCCCAGUGGCUUGCUGAGACAUGCUCUGCACAGGGGAGAUUUCUUAUACCAGCAGUGUGGGAGGCAGUGGGGCAGGUAGAGCCACAAGUGGGGAUGAGGGAGCAGAGUCUAGGGCAGGCUCCUGGAUGGACACCAGCUACACUGUCUAUUGGAUGUGGGACUUCCCUCACUGAUGAAAUGAAUAAGAGAAUCUUCCUCAUCCUGCUGUUGUUGGCGUUAAAACGGGUUAAUGCAUGAAAGCAACAAAGCCCGGCCUGCAGACAGCACAUGGUAAGUCUCCUCUUCCCAGCAUGUUCAACAGGAAGCCCUCAUUCCCUCUAGAAUGUAGGAGUCUUGCCAGCAGUGGCCUGUUUGUUCUCUGCCUGUUGCCGACCUGAUGAGAACAUAAAAUUGGUGUCUUCUGUAUAGAUUUCCUUCUUAUUGCCCCUACUGUGGCUGAACAUACCUUCCCCCGUGCUUGAAGUCUGUUCAUAUAUGUUCUGCUGUGAUAACUGCCCAUUCUUGUUCUCUAUCUAAGAAGGCAUUUAGUUUUGAAAAUAUUUUGUUGGCUUGUAAGAUAUUUGUACAUAUUAAGCACAGCAAACCUGUAACAUAUUCACUGUAAAUCAUUAUUCCUCAUGCAUCAUUUGCCAUUUAACUGUAUUUUUUUCCUUUUUGAUGUAACCUGCUAUAGUUUACAUUUUUAAAUCAGAAAUGCCUGCACAUUUUAAAACGAAGACUCUUAUGCUCUAGCCUUUGAGGUCAUGCUUGGAAAGUCCUUUCUCACACAAAGAUUAUUUACACUUUCAUCUCUUUUUCUCUGAGUACGUUUCAGUGUUUAAUUGACCAGGAAUGUAUUUCGAGGUGUGAUAUGAGACAAGGAUCUGAAAUGCUUUGCCCACUGAAUCAUCAUGCACUGACCGAAAUGCCACCUGUAUGAGUGCUAAAAUCAUUGUCGCUGGACCUGUGUCUGCACUGUUUAAUUUUAGUGUUGUUUCUCACAUCAGCUUCUGUUGUUUUCAUGGUUGUGGUUCUCAUACUUUUAAUAUCUGUUGGAGCAAAUAAAGCCUCGUUUCUCAUCUUUUCCAAAAAUGUCUUAUGUAUGUGAACUUUGGUGUUAUUUGUCAAGUCUGGGCAUUCUCCCACCCCCAUAUUAAAGAAUGCUCUCUGG
rnacentral:lncRNA from 1 species